rnacentral:rRNA from 1 species
UUAAAUUGAAGAGUUUGAUCAUGGCUCAGAUUGAACGCUGGCGGCAGGCCUAACACAUGCAAGUCGAACGGUAACAGGAAGCAGCUUGCUGCUUUGCUGACGAGUGGCGGACGGGUGAGUAAUGUCUGGGAAACUGCCUGAUGGAGGGGGAUAACUACUGGAAACGGUGGCUAAUACCGCAUAAUGUCGCAAGACCAAAGAGGGGGACCUUCGGGCCUCUUGCCAUCAGAUGUGCCCAGAUGGGAUUAGCUUGUUGGUGAGGUAACGGCUCACCAAGGCGACGAUCCCUAGCUGGUCUGAGAGGAUGACCAGCCACACUGGAACUGAGACACGGUCCAGACUCCUACGGGAGGCAGCAGUGGGGAAUAUUGCACAAUGGGCGCAAGCCUGAUGCAGCCAUGCCGCGUGUAUGAAGAAGGCCUUCGGGUUGUAAAGUACUUUCAGCGGGGAGGAAGGUGUUGUGGUUAAUAACCGCAGCAAUUGA